GACGAACGCUGGCGGCGUGCUUAACACAUGCAAGUCGAACGGAAAGGCCCUGCUUUUGUGGGGUGCUCGAGUGGCGAACGGGUGAGUAACACGUGAGUAACCUGCCCUUGACUUUGGGAUAACUUCAGGAAACUGGGGCUAAUACCGGAUAGGAGCUCCUGCUGCAUGGUGGGGGUUGGAAAGUUUCGGCGGUUGGGGAUGGACUCGCGGCUUAUCAGCUUGUUGGUGGGGUAGUGGCUUACCAAGGCUUUGACGGGUAGCCGGCCUGGGAGGGUGACCGGCCACAUUGGGACUGAGAUACGGCCCAGACUCCUACGGGAGGCAGCAGUGGGGAAUAUUGCACAAUGGGCGGAAGCCUGAUGCAGCAACGCCGCGUGCGGGAUGACGGCCUUCGGGUUGUAAACCGCUUUCGCCUGUGACGAAGCGUGAGUGACGGUAAUGGGUAAAGAAGCCCCGGCUAACUACGUG
rnacentral:rRNA from 1 species